GUUUGGUCCGGACCAGGGUUCGCUUGAGUGUAUUCACACCUGCACAAAAGGUCCGGACCGAAGAGGGAAACGAACUCUGGUCCGUUUAAAGCGGACCAAAAGUGGCAAUUGUGAAUACACCCUUAGACACACGUGGACUUGCUCCCUGCUAGGAGCAGCCUCCCACAAAACCACAUGGGCAGACACAACUCAGGCACACAGAAAAUGGCAAAUUCUCCCCAUGGAUAGGAUAUGUUUUGACUCCUCUCUGGAUAAAGUGUUUGCCUAAAAAGUUUCAUUUUACCACAGGUUGCUGUUUCCUGAUUAGAAGCCUUGUGGCAACUCUGGAUUUCUCCUUGGCAUGAACUCUCAGACACCCACGGCCACCUUCAAACUGCCCCUUCAUUGCCUCAACUUUCUGCCUGUCGGCUCUCCAAAGCUCUCUCCUCUUGGCACCCAAAAGAUCAUCUUUUGCCUUGCUUCUGCCAUACAGUGGUGGUUCUAGGCCAAAUUUACCCGGGUGUCCAGGGUGGGGCCACUGUUUUUCAUGAGGGCACAGAACAAUAGAAUGAAACAAAAAAACAGGGCAAUAUUUCAUCGCUUCAUAUAUUAAAUGAGCCACACAGCCAAAGAGCCACUUGUGGCUCUGGAGCUGCUGGUUCCAGACCCCUGAGCUAGCAGAUGAAAACUGUGAUCCCAUCUCAAUCCAGAUGAAACUAAAAGUUUACCACAAUCCAGUCAAACCCCGAAUGCCAAAGCCCUGCAACAGAUUCAUCGUCUUAGUCAUUUUUAUCAAGAAUAAAAGGUACUCCUUAACCUUCA